UUAAUGAGAUAAGGGAAGAUGGGACGUGGAACAAGUUGAAAGAAGUGGGGACUGGGAGGCAGUUGACGAUGGAAGAGUUUGAAAUCUGUGUGGGGCAUUCACCAAUCGUGCAAGAAUUGAUGAGGAGGCAAAAUGUCGAAGAUGCUACCAGAGAAAAUCUCGAUUCCAACACCAAUGGAGGUGUUGGAGUCGGUGUUUCAAAGUUGAAAAAGAAGGGUAGUUGGCUUAGGGGCAUCAGGAGUGUGACAAGUAGUGUAAAGGGGAAUAAAGAGAGAAGAAGUAGUGAUGAGAGGGAUACUGGGUCUGACAAGGGAGGAAGGAGGUCAAGUUCUGCAACAGAUGACAGCCAGGACGUGUCAUUUCAUGGGCCUGAGAGAGUGAGGGUAAGGCAAUAUGGGAAGUCAUUCAAAGAAUUGAGUGCACUUUACAAGAGUCAGGAGAUACAGGCGCAUAAUGGGUCCAUAUGGAGUAUUAAGUUUAGUUUAGAUGGGAGGUAUCUAGCAAGUGCUGGUGAGGAUUGUGUGAUUCAUGUUUGGCAGGUUAUCGAGUCCAAGAAAAAAGGGGAGCUGGUGAAUGAUAAACCAGAGGAUGGGAAUUUUAACUUUUUGUUGACAGCAAGUGGGUUUCCUGAACCUUCUUUGUUCUCACCAACAGCAGAUGGUCAUCAUGAGAAGAAGAGGAGAGGUAGGACAUCUAUAAGUAGAAAAUCUUUGAGCUUGGACCACAUUGUUGUGCCGGAGACUGUGUUUGCACUUGCAGAUAAACCCAUUUGUUCAUUCCAAGGACAUCUAGAUGAUGUGCUCGACCUUUCAUGGUCCAAGUCUCAGCACCUGCUUUCUUCUUCAAUGGACAAAACAGUGCGCCUAUGGCACUUGUCUCACAAGACUUGUUUGAAAAUAUUCUCGCACAGUGAUUAUGUAACUUGCAUCCAGUUUAAUCCUGUUGA
rnacentral:misc_RNA from 1 species